AUAUUUACCUGAAAGGGGAAAUUACCAUGACCAUGCAGGUGGUUUUCCUAGGACGACGCUUGUCCAUUGCAUUGUUGUUUUUGCUGACCUUGACAUUUUCCCCAAAUGGGAGAAACUCAACAGCAUAAUUCAUGGAGUGGGGGUGGCAUUUGUGCUCUGCCCUG